rnacentral:rRNA from 1 species
AGGACGAACGCUGGCGGCGUGCUUAACACAUGCAAGUGGAGCGACGAACCAGGGCUUGCCCUGGGGCAGAACCGCGAACGGGUGAGUAACACGUGGGUUACCUGCCUCGAUGACUGGGACAACCCGGGGAAACUCGGGCUAAUACCGGAUGUGCCCGCAAGGGGAAAGGAAGCUUCGGCCUCCGCAUCGAGAUGGGCCCGCGGCCCAUUAGCUUGUUGGUGAGGUAACGGCUCACCAAGGCUUCGAUGGGUAGCUGGUCUGAGAGGACGAUCAGCCACACUGGGACUGAGACACGGCCCAGACUCCUACGGGAGGCAGCAGUGGGGAAUCUUGCGCAAUGCGCGAAAGCGUGACGCAGCAACGCCGCGUGGGGGAAGAAGGCUUUCGGGUUGUAAACCCCGUUUCAGUUGGGACGAAGCUUCGCCGGUGAAUAGCCGGCCGGAGUGACGGUACCUUCACAAGAAGCACCGGCUAACUACGUGCCAGCAGCCGCGGU